UACGUAGGGGGCAAGCGUUGUCCGGAUUUAUUGGGCGUAAAGAGCUCGUAGGUGGUUCGGUAAGUCGGAUGUGAAAUCUCCAGGCUCAACCUGGAGGGGUCAUUCGAUACUGCCGUGACUAGAGGUCGGUAGGGGAGUGUGGAAUUCCUGGUGGAGCGGUGAAAUGCGCAGAUAUCAGGAGGAACACCCGUAGCGAAGGCGGCACUCUGGGCCGAUACUGACACUGAAAAGCGAAAGCCAGGGGAGCAAACGGG
rnacentral:rRNA from 1 species